rnacentral:lncRNA from 1 species
CCUAAAUUAGAGGAGAGGGGGUCUUGGUUUCAAACGUCAACGCCAGAUAAUUAUAUAUUCCAUUAUUAUGCAUGCAUAGUCGUAAACCUCGUCUGGAAACCUCAUCUUAUCUUGUAACUAACACACACAUCCCAAUUAAUACAUAUGCAUAAUACUUCUGUCAAAAACAGAAACACAUACACAUAAUGCUAGAUAACAUAUAAAUUAAAGUCCUAAUCACUUAUUCGUAAACAAUUUCAGAAGACAAUACUCAGAAAAGCCACUACAGUUAAAACAUCUAGUUGUUGAUAAAAUUGAUUUAAGAUACCACUCUGUUUCCUAGGCUUGAUCACAAAUGAAACGAAGUAUCCUAGCCGUCGGAAUAAAACAGAGUUUCCUUUCAUUCGGUAUAGAAUAAUCAAAGUUAUAUAUAGGCUGAUUAAAACCACGAAUAGUAGUCUAAAAAUAUGAUUUCUUAAUAUCUCAAACCACAACUGUCCAGAGGAAGCAACAUUAUAUUUAUACAAAUACGCUGAUGAAUCUAUCAAUAAUCUGUGUCCAACACACAACAAUACAGCUUUUAUUUUGUUGUAAACUGAAGCUACAUGGAAUGAGUAACAUGUUGCAUGCUGAACUUCAAGUACACACGUAGAUACAUAUGAUAUCAACUGACGAAGAUUUCUCAUUUGAGAUGUUUAGCAAACCAGUCCAGCAAGUCCUGAUGUGCCUCGUCUGCAGCCUUCACAGCUUCUGCAUCUUCUGGGUUGUAUCUGACAGUCCAACCAUGUGAAGUUUUAGGAAAUAUUUUCACAAAACUUGCCUGCACAAUAAAAAUAGGUUCAUGAGUAACUAGUGUUUAAAAAGGUGAAAAAGCUAAGUAAAAUAAUUUGACUAAUUAUAUAUUCUUGUAACUAACAACAUGUGUGUGUGUGUGUGUGUGUGUGUGUGUGUGUGUGUGUGUGUGUGUGUGUGUGUGUGUNNNNNNUGUGUGUGCGCAUCUGGAAAAAGAUAAGAUUAUAAUAUCAAACAAUGGAAGAUAACCACGAACGAAAAACUAAUCUGACCACAGGUUUAGCAGAUAGGAUUUCUUCAAACUGUUUCACAAGCUCUGGAGGAGAAACUCUGUCAAUCUCAGCUCCAAGUAUAGAAAUUGGAAUGUCAACACCUGAAUUUAAGAACAAUAUUUAACCAUUAGAAUAUGAAGAUCCUCGUUAAGAAAUAUGUUUCUCCUAGUUCUACUUUGUCUUUAAUCAAUCAUUGUAAAAAUUAAAUAUCUGAUCCAUUAAACUACCCGUGUAGCAUUUAAUUGGCCACUAGGACUAGAAGCCUAAAUUAAAUUCCUAGUCCAUUAAAACUGCAUCUUAUAUAGUCAGCAGCAAAUGAAUUCCAAGUUUAUCACUAAUAUAUAAUCAUUUGUAUAUGAAUUUAACAUAAUAACAUAUACAUAAAUAUUACUUGAAAACAUGUAACUAGCAAACAUGAUUAUCUUGAUGGUAAUCACAAUUGACAAGAGUCUUUUUUAUAACAAGAAGCCAUAACAUAAAUUUAGUAGUUUCUUUCCACGUAAGAUUUUAAAGACAUUCUCUAUACAAGAAUAUGCAAAUUAAGAAGAAGAAAAAUUCAAAUAUUGAAAAUCCAUACCCUUUAUGUCAUCCACAGAGAUAAAUGAUGGAUGCAAUAGCACAGCAGCUUGAACAAGUCCGGAUUUCGCAAGUUCAGUGACAACCUUAGCUGAGAAAACGAAGCAAAUAUUGUACAUUCUGUGAGUUCAAUUUUUUAGCUUAGUUGCAUUUCAAACAUUAAAACCGACCAAUGAAUAAACCAAUGAGGAGCUGAAAAACGUCUUCAUACAGAAAAGGAGGGACGAUGCAUAGAAAUAAGUAGAAUGAAUAUCACUCACCACCCCAACAAAAUCCAGCAGCCCCGAUAGAUGAAACACCUUUGCUUUUUAUGGCUUCGAGUAUGGGUUUUGCAUCUUCAAAGCCUUUAUCCUAUUAAUAUAAUAAAAUUAGGUAUGAAUAAUCAGAGAAUGACCCAAUUUGUACAUUUAAUUUGAGACAAUUUGUAAUGUUCAAUCAACAAAUUGAAACCACCAGUAGAAAUACGAGGGCAAUGGCUGAAGUGAUAAAAAAAAUUACAUAAACAAGACAUCUGAAGUUAGUCAGUCAUUGACAUUCCAAAAUCAAAAUUCCAAUAAGUAUACAAAAUUGGAUUUCAAUUUAUUAGAAAAAACAAAAAAUUGUUUCUUUUUUUAAUUAUUAAAGAAAAGAAAAUCAUAAACAACCAAGUAAGGUUAAAUAAGAACUAACCGUUCCAUGAUCUUUUAUCCAAAUAGGCCAGGGCUUAUUAGGGUUCUCAGGAUUGAAGGGUUCACCAUUAAGGAAGUCAGGAACAACCACAUAAUAACCAGCAGCUGCAACUUUAUCUGCAAGCUUCCUUCACAGCAGAGAAUAAACAAUAUUACUUACCAGGUGAACUCAUUAAAAUGGACAUGUGAGAGAGAGAGAGAGAGAGAGAGAGAGAGAGAGAGAGAGAGAGAGAAUGCAUUGCCUAUUUAAAUUAAAAAUCUAGUCAAAAUCUAACAUAUUGUGUAACCAAGUGAUUGGACUGAAAUGGUUAAUUAGUUUAGAUUAAGGACGAAUCCUUCGAGCGAACCCAAAUUCGAAUUCUGGCCGGAACAAUCCUUAAUCAAACUUUACUUACCUCAUGGCUGAACUAUGAAUUACCAGGGGCCCCUUACCGCGUGACAAGAGGGUUAAGACCAAAAAAACAUCUAACAUAUUAUGUACAGUAGCAUAAUUACGUUCAUGAAUGAUCACUCUCUAGAUUACACUUAUACUAUUGUCCCUUCUAGUUCGAAAAUAGAUUAUAAUUUUUUUCAUUUUACUAUUAGAUCAUGCUAAUUUCCAAAAAUUACUAAAUUAGACAUAGAAAGUAGAGAGAAAUUAGCUAUACCUAAAAUUUGGCGCUUCAUAUCCUGCAAGAAAAAUAGAGCAUAAGCAGUUAGUAGAAGGUUUUGGUGAAUAUUAGCAAAUAGUGAUUAUAAAUUGAUUAAGCAUGGAAUUAAGCAGUAAAAAGUACCAAAAACAUCGGAGACGAGAAGAACAGCGGAAUUGGAAUUAGGAGAACCGGUGAUAUAGGCAUUCAGAGCACCGAAUUUGUCAACGUGACCAGCUCCCGCGCUUGGAUUCAGAGUUGGUGGAUUUGAGCAACAUUCUGGUCCUGACAUCUUUGCUAUUUUCAAUAAUUCCACUGAGUGAGGGAGGUAGGUAGGUAGGUUCUAAGUUCUAACUUCUAAUAAAUCAACAAACAAACAAUUGGAAAUAUUCCUUGAUUUUGCGUUAGCACUUACGUCAAUGGAUACUUCAAGUCAACAAGGUUUCCAUUUUUGUUUCUAGCUGAUUAAAUCAAAAUUUAAAAGUAGCGGGGUCAUCAUAUGGAAAAAUUCAAUCUGAUCCGAUUGAAUUUCACGCGGUUUAAUUUUUAUCGGUUUUUAAGAUAUCCAAAUUAUAAAUUGUAAAUUUAAAUAUUAAUAUUAUAAAAAACAUUAAAGUAUAAUUCUAGUUUAUUUUCUUUCCUUCUUCGAUGCUUCACUAGGUGUAAUUUCUUGAAUGUCUUUUUUUAAAAAUAUUUAUGAGUGGAAGUGAGAAGUCUAAAAAAAUUAGGAAGAUGGUUCGAGGAGAAUGUUAGGAGGGUAGUGUGAAAUGGGGAAAAUAUGUUGUUUUGGAAGAAUAAGAUGCUCCUUUGUGUGAUAGUUUUUAUAUGACUUUUUAAUUUGUUGUUACAUAAGAAUAUUUCUAUAGUUGAGAUGUAUCGUCAAGGAUUAGGGUCACAGGUGGGGGGUGGAGGUGGCGAAGGCAGUUGUUUGCACGGGAGAAGGAUCUUGUUGUGGCAUGUUGUGCCAUUCGAAAGAAUAAUUUUUUGCAGGUGAACGUCGGAUUCUUGAAAAUGGCAACUUGAUCUUUAUGAAGACUAUUCGGUCAAAGAUGAUCUAAGGAGGACCACGUAGGCGAGUUGGAGCAUCAUAAGGCGGUUUGGAAUAAUUUUAUUCGUUUAAAGGUAUCAUUAUUUGCAAGGAGGCUGGUCUAAAAUAAACCGUCAACAAAAGACAAUUUGGUCUGGAGGGGAGUGACGCAUUUGAACUCUUUACUUUGCUCAGGUUGUGACUUUAAUGAAACAACUAGUCGCUUAUUUUUUUAAUGUGAUCUUUUUUCUUCUCUUUGGCGUGCGAUUGCAAAUUGGUUGAGAAUUAGUGAUGCUUUUUCAAUUCAUGUGCGAUAUCAUGCUUUACAAUUUGGGAGUAGCUAUCUAUUUAAAAAAGAGACAUGGAAAUAUUUUAUGCAUUUUGGUGAUUACACAUUAUCUUAUUUAGGAGUUGUAAACACUCAAUUUGGCGUUUUUAAUUGUCUGUUUUGAAGGAGGAGGAAGAGGGGGGGGACGGCGGCGAGUCUUUUAGCCCUCCUGUGACCUUAUUCUACCACUCUGUUUCCUAGGCUUGAUCACUAAUGAAACGAAGUGUCCUUGUCCUAGCCGUAGGAAAAAAAACAGAGUUUCCUUUCAUUCAGCAUAAUAAUCAAAGUUAUAUAGGCUGAUUAAAACCACAUAAAUAGAAGUCUUAAAAUAGGAUUUCUUAAUAUCUCAAACCACAACUGUCCACAGGAAGCAACAUUAUAUUUUUACAAAUACGCUGAUGAAUCUAUCAAUAAUCUGUGUCCAACAUGCAACAAUAAAGCAUUUAUUUUGGUGUAAACUGAAGAUAUGUGGAAUGAGUAACAUGUUGCAUGUUGCACUUCAAAUACACACGUCGAUACAUACGAUAUCAACUGACAAAGAUUUCUCAUUUGAGAUGUUUAGCAUACCAGUCCAGCAAGUCCUGAUGUGCCUCGUCUGCAGCUUUCACAGCUUCUGCAUCUUCCAGGUCGUAUCUCACAGUCCAACCAUGUGAAACUUUAGGAAAUAUUUUCACAAAACUUGCCUGCACAAUAAAACUAGGUUCAUGAGUCACUAGUGUUUAAAAAGGUGAAAAAGCUAAGUAAAACAAUUUGACUAAUUAAAUAUUCUUGUAACUAACAACACGUGUGUGAGUGCGCGUGCGCCCACGUGUGCAUCCGAAAGAAGAUAAGAUUAGAAUAUCAAAUGAUGCCAGAUAACCACGAAUGGAAAAUUAAUCUGACCACAGGUUUAGUAGAUAGGAUUUCUUCAAACUGUUUCACAAGCUCUGGAGGAGAAAGUUUGUCAAUCUCAGCUCCAAGUAUAGAAAUGGGAAUGUCAACACCUGAAUUUAAAGACAAUAAUUAACCGUUAGACUAUGAACAUCUCUGUAGUUAAGAAAUAUGUUUCUCCUAGUUCUACUUUGCCUUUAUUCAAUCAUUGCAAAAAUUAAAAGCCUGGUCCAUUAAACUACCUGCGUUGUAAUUAGCCUUUAGAAACAUAAAUUAAAUUCCAAAUCCAUUAAAACUGCAUCUCAUAUAGUCAGCAACAAAUGAAUUCCUAAUUUUUUCACUAACAUAUAAUCAUUUGUAUGUUAAUUUAACAUAUACACUACUAUUACUUGAAAACAUGCAACUAGCAAUCAUGCUUAAAUUGAUGGCAAUCAUAAUUGAUAAGCUUCAUUUUUUAACAAACCAUAACAUAAAUUUAGUAGUUUGUUUUGGCGGAAGAUUUUGAAGACAUUCUGUAAACAAAGAAUAUGCAAAUUAAGAAGUAAAAAACUUCAAAUAAUGAAAAUCCAUACCCUUUAUGUCAUCCACAGAGACAAACGAUGGAUGCAAUAGCACAACAGCUUGAAUAAGUACGGAUUUCGCGAGUUCAGUAACAACCUUAGCUGAGAAAAGGAAGUAAUCAUAGUAUAUUCUGUAAGUUCAAAUUUUAGCUGAGUUGCAUUUCAAAUAUUAAAUCCGAUUGAUGAGUAAACCUAUGAGAAUCUGAAACGUCUUCAUACAGAAAAGGAGGGGUGAUGCAUAGAAAUAAGUAGAAUGAGUAGCACUCACCACCCCAGCAAAAUCCAGCAGCCCCGAUAGAUGAAACACCUUUACUUUUUAUGGCUUCGAGUACGAGUUUUGCAUCUUCAAAACCUUUAUCCUAUUAAUAUAACAAUAAUAGGUAUGCAUCAGAGAAUGACACAAUUUGUAAUGUACAAUCAACAAAUCGAAACCACAAAUAAAAGUGGGAGGGCAAUGGCUGAAGUGAUAAAAUUACACAAACAAGACAUGAACUUAGUUAUGCGGAUUCCAAAAUCAAAAUUCCAAUAAGUAUACAAAAUUGGAUUUCAAUUUAUUAGAAAAAAACAAAAUUUAUUUCCUUUUUUACUUAUCAAGGAAAAGAGAAGCAUAAACAACCAUGUAAGUACGGUUAAAUAAGAACUAACCGUCCCAUGAUCUUUUAACCAAAUAGGCAAUGGCCUAUCAGGGUUCUCGGGAUUGUAGGGAUUGCCAUUAAAGAAGUCAGGAACAGCAACAUAAUAACCAGCAGCUGCAACUUUGUCUGCAAGCUUC